CUAAAUCCUAAUUUAUUAAUUAUAACCGCACUUUCAUUUCAAUUUCAAUUCAUUCAAUUUUCUGAAUUAAAAUCAAAUAAAUUUGAAACAACACUUCGCAUUACUUUGUUAAUUUGUAACACUCUAGUUUUAUAUUAGGUGAAAAUCUAAUUCUGAUUUGAAUGUAUGAGAUUUCACACGCUAAUAAUAAUAACUGAGCUUAAAUAUUUUGGACCAAUGAUUUGAAUCCAACGAGUUAUUAUUGCUAGCGGAUUGAGUCAUUACAAUUGGUACCGAAGUCGAAUAUCACAUCGCUUGGUAAUUUGGGUUUGUAUGUCUGUGAUCUAGGUUUGAACUUGACGAAAACGUGAGGGUCUAAAUAGAGGGAGAGGAAGGGUCUAAACCUGACGAAAAUGUUAGAGUCUAAAUGAGGAAAAAGGAG
rnacentral:lncRNA from 1 species